rnacentral:lncRNA from 1 species
CUCUCUUCUUUCUUACCUCUUAUCUUCUUCCUCUUCGUUUAUUUCUCUUCUCUCAUCUUUAUCGGAAAGGAAAAAAAAAAAAAAAUCAAUCUGGCUAUCACAAAAAAAUUCCUCCAUCUCAUAGAAACCAUCGAUCCUCAUCUAAUUAAUUGUCCUCGCAGGUGAUCAAGGGAUUCGAGGGGAACCAUCUGCUGUUUCUUGCUCCGGUGACUUGGUGAAGGCAAUCGCGAAGCAGGGAAAGCUGGAUCUGAGAAUUGAAAAUUGAAUGGGUUCAUUUUUCUCAUGUUUUGGUUGUUUUCAUGCAGUGAGGCUGGAUUCUGGUUGUUUUCAUGCAGUGAGGCUGGAUUCGACUUGAUGUCAGUAGUAUGAUAUCCGAUUUAAGACAGAAAUCAUUUCUUUGCUAGCUAUAUGCAUUUCAAUCUGCUUCCAUGUGAAUACAACUUUUUUGAUUUUGAAAGAUGUGAUCUGAUCUAGUGAUCUUGUUCUCUAACCAUCUGCCCUUUGGUUUUCUGUAUGCGAGGAUCAUCAUCAUGAUUCACGCCAAGUUGAACAGGAAGAACUUCAACCAAAUCGACCCUAUCAGAAUUUGAUUUGAGCGUUUCAAAUGAAGAAUGGAUCUAUGCUUUUCAUCUGUAAUUGAACCAGUCCUGGCAAUGCUCUGUGUAAAAUAUAUUGUUUGAGAAGUUUUUUUGAGGAGCAGACCCGGCAAUAUAAAUAUAUAUAUAUAUAUAUAUAUAUAUAUUAUUUUUUACAAAAUAUUGGACCCAAAAAUUAAACAAGGGGCCCCAAAAAAUUUCCCGCAUUGGGCCUCAAAUCUUUCAGGGCUGGCCCUGCCAGUAACCCAGUUAUUAUAACCCCAAGUCUAAAACACAAACCUAAAUUCAAAAUCUAUGCCCAACACCAAUUGAUCUAGUGACAUAAGUCUCAUCUUAUUAGAAUGUUAGUGAAAUGUUAUGAGUUCGACUCAUAGUGUUAUAACACAGUAGCACAUUUAAUCAAAAAAGAAAUUCAAAAUCUAGAAGAAGAAAAAAAAAACAUGUUAGAACAUCUCCAAUGUGAGGAAGUUGCUAGAGUUAAAGCAUUAUUUUGUUUUUUUUUUUUUCUAAAGAUUUUGGCUUUUGUUUUCUCAUUUAGACCUAGUAUGAAACAACUUCGUUUUUAGAAAAAUAAACUUGUAUAUGAACUUUUAAAUUUAAUAGUGUUUGGUAAUAAAAAAAAACAUACAUUUUUUAAAAUUACAGUGGUGGCACCAUCGUCAGCGUUCUGAAUC